UGGGGAAUAUUGGACAAUGGGCGAAAGCCUGAUCCAGCCAUGCCGCGUGUGUGAAGAAGGUCUUCGGAUUGUAAAGCACUUUAAGUUGGGAGGAAGGGCAGUAAGCGAAUACCUUGCUGUUUUGACGUUACCGACAGAAUAAGCACCGGCUAACUCUGUGCCAGCAGCCGCGGUAAUGCAGAGGGUGCAAGCGUUAAUCGGAAUUACUGGGCGUAAAGCGCGCGUAGGUGGUUCGUUAAGUUGAAUGUGAAAGCCCCGGGCUCAACCUGGGAACUGCAUCCAAAACUGGCGAGCUAGAGUAGGGCAGAGGGUGGUGGAAUUUCCUGUGUAGCGGUGAAAUGCGUAGAUAUAGGAAGGAACACCAGUGGCGAAGGCGACCACCUGGGCUCAUACUGACACUGAGGUGCGAAAGCGUGGGGAGCAAACAGG
rnacentral:rRNA from 1 species